rnacentral:lncRNA from 9 species
CCAUGGUCAAGGAGUUCCCACUAUGGUGCAUUGGGUUAAGGACCCAGCAUUGCCGCAGCUGUGGCAUAGGUGGAAGCUGUGGCUCGAAUUCAAUCCCUGGCGAGGGAACUUCCACACGCCACUUGGUGGGGAGGCGGUGGGGGGGUGGCUUAAAAAGAAAAAAAAAAUUUUAAGUAGUCAAGAAUGAUACAAAAGAGCUAAAGAUGUUGCCCGAAAGGGCAAAGGCCAACGUUAACGGGGAGAAAUGCCUCAGCAAAAUAUGGGGGUGCAGUCCCAGAGAAAGAAAACAUUACAUGGUAUAUGGAAACAAUAUUAUCUAAUCUCUCCAAAGUAGUCUUUCAUCUUGAACAGGGCUUACAACAUUUAGCAGGUGCUCUCUUGUCCUCCCCAAUCUUCUUUUCUUCAAGCCGACUGUUCCAAAGACAUCAUACCUGUUAUUUUCAGUUUCUCUUCCGUCUAAGGAAAAUGUCCCAGCAGCAGCAGCAGCAACAAUGCAAAGUCCCCCCGCAGCCCCCUCCCCAGGUCCCUGUGCCUUGUCCUCCCCAGGUCCCUGGGCCCUGCCCUCCCAAUCCGUGUACCCCACCUCCUCCCAGCCAGCAGAAGUGUCCCCCAGUUAAGUGUCCCCCCCACCAGCAGGAAUACCUGCCGAAGCAGAAGUGACAUCUCGGAAGCCACCCUCCACCGCCUGAUUAUGAAAACACUGCAUCCCCUUGCCCCACGCCAUCCCCUCACUUCCAGCAACAGCAAGGAACACAAACAGCUUAGAAGAUGCUGCCUCUCUUCAGAUUCAAGGAGAAAGAUGCCAUCAUCAGAGUAUAUUGGGUUUUCCUUUCCAAAUCAGUAACUCCUCCCAGCUCAUCUCCCAGGAGACGGCAUGAUACCAUGUUCUCAAACUCUUCCCUAGAAGCACCACCCAUUCUUGUCCUUCUCCGUCAAGGCUGUGGUCAAGACGAGGCCAGACUCUCCACCAGCUGUCUCUUCUACCACACUGCCUCCUGCUGAUUAUACAAGGUCACUACAAGGACACAAAUAAUUCUGGCUGAGCAAUCUGCCUCCCUGGGAAGCAACAACUUCAUAAACUUUACAAAGGAGCAAAUGUGGCCGAAAAAAGAACACGAAAAAAACUGCUUAAACCAAGUGAAGUUCCUCCAGACUUCUUCAGAGCACAAUUCCACACUCCUUGGUGAAGGCGAUGAGGUCUCUGUAUUUCCUCCCCAAUCAUCCCCACGAUCCCUAGCAAAGCUCACCCUGCCUGCUUGUCUCUGAGCCCCAGCCAGUUAAAAGUAUCCCAGGCUCUUUCAUGUCCCUUCCCCCAUGCUUCUCAAUAAAAUUCUUUCCCCCUGAUUUGCCGUGUCUCUGCUCUCUUGCUGGGGCUGGGAGAAAGACAGAGCAACACAGCCAGACAAAUCAGGGCUUGAGAAGGGAAUCAAGAGACUGAGGGAGAAAUCACUGCGAGGACCCUGGAGUCAGUCGGGGGCCACAGGAGGACGUGAGGACAAUGCACAAGCCAGCAAAUCCCCUUUCCUCUCUGGGCACACUUUCCCAACACCCCAAAGGACCAGCUGCUCCCAAGACCAC